GUGCUCACUUUCAGGGCACACAUACUAAAACUGGCAUGGCCCCUACACAAAGAUGUCACACAAAUUUGUGAAGCCUUUUAUAUUUAA
rnacentral:snRNA from 1 species